UUAUUUGAUGAAAACUUUGCA
ensembl:piRNA 21ur-8205 ncRNA